UGGAGAGUGGCAUAGUGGUUUGAGUGUUGGACCAUGACUCUGGAGAACAGGGUUCAAUUCUCUGCUCAGCCA
rnacentral:tRNA from 1 species